rnacentral:rRNA from 1 species
CCUACGGGUGGCAGCAGUGAGGAAUAUUGGUCAAUGGCCGUAAGGCUGAACCAGCCAAGUCGCGUGAAGGAAGAAGGACCUAUGGUUUGUAACCUUCUUUUAUAGGGGAAUAAAGGUAUUCACGUGUGGAGAUUUGCAUGUACCCUAUGAAUAAGCAUAGGCUAACUCCGUUCCAGCAGCCGCGGUAAUACGGAGGGUGCGAGCGUUAACCGGAUUUAUUUGGUUUAAAGGGUGCGUAGGUUGUUUGUUAAGUCAGCGGUGAAAGUUUGGGGCUCAACCAUAAAAUUGCCGUUGAAACUGGAAGACUGGAGUGUGUUUGAGGUAGGCGGAAUGCGUGGUGUAGCGGUGAAAUGCAUAGAUAUCACGAAGAACUUCGAUUGCGAAGGCAGCUUACUGAGCCAUAACUGACGCUGAGGAACGAAAGCGUGGGGAUCAAACAGGAUUAGAUACCCUUGUAGUC